rnacentral:rRNA from 1 species
AUUGAACGCUGGCGGCAUGCCUAACACAUGCAAGUCGAACGGCAGCACAAUAAAGAUUUCGGUCUUUAUGGGUGGCGAGUGGCGGACGGGUGAGUAACGCGUAGGAAUCUGUCCUGGAGAGUGGGAUAACCCGAGGAAACUCGGGCUAAUACUGCAUGACAUUGAGAGAUCAAAAGCAGGGGACCGAAAGGCCUUGCGCUCUGGGGUGAGCCUACGUCGGGUUACCGAGUUGGUGGGGUAAAGGCCUACCAAGGCGACGAUCCGGAGCUGGCCUGAGAGGAUGACCAGCCACAGUGGGACUGAGACACGGCCCAGACUCCUACGGGAGGCAGCAGUGGGGAAUCUUGGACAAUGGGGGAAACCCUGAUCCAGCGAUGCCGCGUGUGUGAAGAAGGCCUUCGGGUUGUAAAGCACUUUAGGUGGGGAAGAAAGGUAGCGAGUGAAUAACUUUCUGCUGUGACGGUACCCACAGAAUAAGCACCGGCUAACUCUGUGCCAGCAGCCGCGGUAA